GACAGAGGGGGCAAGCGUUGCUCGGAAUCACUGGGCGUAAAGGGCGCGUAGGCGGGAUGGCAAGUCGGUCGUGAAAUCCUUCGGCCCAACCGAAGAACGUCGGCCGAUACUGCCGUUCUUGAGGGAUGCAGAGGAGACUGGAAUUCCCGGUGUAGCGGUGAAAUGUGUAGAGAUCGGGAGGAACACCAGUGGCGAAGGCGACUACCUGGCCUGUUCUUGACGCUGAGGCGCGAAAGCUAGGGGAGCAAACGGG
rnacentral:rRNA from 1 species